GCUAAAAAUGUUGAAAUGGAAAUUUCAACAGGUUGAUACAUCUAAAAAAGUUACUUAUUGUAUGGCUAUCUCCAUAUUCUUUUUUUCAACUCACUCUCACAAAAACGUCAGAAUACACAGCUUAGAGGUGUUGCAGAGGAGCUGAUAACAGAUUCCAUGAGUGAUAAUAUUGUAGCAUAAUAAAAGAGAACUGCAAUGUAGCAAAAGUGCCACAUGUAUCGCGAGAGGCGAGAUUCAGAGGGGAGUGAAGUAAUAACCUGCUGGCUGUCCCAUCCCAUAGGGCAUUGAUGGUUGCAUUCCAGCACCAUAGUAGCCCGGGGUAGCUCCUGCAAGUCUGGACAAACCCAUUUGACCUUGCAUCCCGUUGCUUGCAUAUUGCUGCCACAGCUGUUGUUCCUGCAUUAACAAAUGUUGUUUCCUCUCCUGUUCUGCCAUUUGGACGUAAGAAGGAGGUGGCACGGCAAGGGAAGCGGCAAAUGGAUCUUGGUUCCCUACUGGUUGGACUGUUCCAUCGGGGGCAGGUAACGCAAGCAUAGGUGUUGCAGUCUUUCCAACUCCAGGCAAUGCUACACUGCUGGCACUCCCACCAGUCACCUGAGUAUUACUCACGUGCUGCCUCACGGUUCCCUGAUCGUACAUCCCGUUUAACAAAAGUGAAUCAAAACCACCUGCUAAAUCAGCCGUCUGCUUUGACAAAUUACUGGCGGUUUCUACCAAUGCUAACUCCCAGUCAGCUUUGCCAAUCUCAGCAGCUGGUGUCUGCCAAG
rnacentral:misc_RNA from 1 species